rnacentral:rRNA from 1 species
GACGUAGGGCGCGAGCGUUGUCCGGAUUUAUUGGGCGUAAAGAGCUCGUAGGCGGCUUGUCGCGUCGUUCGUGAAAACCUGCAGCUCAACUGCGGGUCUGCAGUCGAUACGGGCAGGCUAGAGUUCGGUAGGGGAGACUGGAAUUCCUGGUGUAGCGGUGAAAUGCGCAGAUAUCAGGAGGAACACCGAUGGCGAAGGCAGCUCGCUGGGACGGUACUGACGCUGAGGCGCGAAAGCGUGGGGAGCGAACAGG